CAGGAAGUGCUGGAGGACGUGGCAUUGC
rnacentral:piRNA from 1 species